CCUACGGGAGGCAGCAGUGGGGAAUCUUGCGCAAUGGGCGAAAGCCUGACGCAGCAACGCCGCGUGCGGGAAGAAGGCUCUCGGGUUGUAAACCGCUUUCAGCAGGAACGAAAAUGACGGUACUUGCAGAAGAAGGUGCGGCCAACUACGUGCCAGCAGCCGCGGUGACACGUAGGCACCAAGCGUUGUCCGGAUUUAUUGGGCGUAAAGAGCUCGUAGGCGGUUCGGUAAGUCAGGUGUGAAAACUUUGGGCUCAACCCAAAGCCUGCAUCUGAUACUGCUGUGACUAGAGUUCGGUAGGGGAGCGGGGAAUUCCUAGUGUAGCGGUGAAAUGCGCAGAUAUUAGGAGGAACACCGGUGGCGAAGGCGCCGCUCUGGGCCGAAACUGACGCUGAGGAGCGAAAGCGUGGGUAGCAAACAGGAUUAGAUACCCUGGUAGUCCACGCCGUAAACGUUGGGCACUAGGUGUGGGUUUCAACCAACGAAAUCCGACGCCGUCGCUAACGCAUUAAGUGCCCGCCUGGGGAGUACGGCCGCAGGUUAAACUAAGGAAUUGACGG
rnacentral:rRNA from 1 species